rnacentral:misc_RNA from 1 species
CGACAAGAUAUGAUUGAGGAUUAGUUGGUUGGUUUGGGCAAGUGGUGAAUUCAAUUAGCCUAAAGGACAACUGGCGAUAGAAGCAGAGGUUUCGGUCCAAAAGCGUGAUUCAGCGGUCCAAAUUAUUAUUAAUUUUCUUAAUUAGAUUAUUAUUGAUUUUAUAUGGCGUCAAAUUUCCCACUCAUUUGCCAAAUUUGCCAGGAAACUGCUCAAUUUCAUCUGAAUUCUAUAUCAAAACCUCUGUUUCAAGGAAAUUUUUGUUAAAUUAAAUGAUUAUGGUGGAGGAGGGAUCAGAGAGGGCAUUGAUGAGGAGCUUGCAGAAGGAGCAAGAAAGAGAACGGCGUCGUAUACGUGAUAGGCAGAGAAGACAAUCCAUGAGUGUUGAGGAGAGGGAGAAGCAUCUCGCUAGACGCCGGAGAAACUAUCAACUACGUCGUCAGAGAGCUGAAAAUGCCCGCUUGGACCUUCGAGUUAAUCAAAAUACA